UACGGGGGGAGCAAGCGUUGUUCGGAUUUACUGGGCGUAAAGGGCGCGUAGGCGGUCAGCACAAGUCAGUUGUGAAAUCUCCGGGCUUAACUCGGAAAGGUCAACUGAUACUGUGCGACUAGAGUGCGGAAGGGGCAACUGGAAUUCUUGGCGUAGCGGUGAAAUGCGUAGAUAUCAAGAGGAACACCUGCGGCGAAGGCGGGUUGCUGGGCCGACACUGACGCUGAGGCGCGAAAGCCAGGGGAGCGAACGGG
rnacentral:rRNA from 1 species